GUUAAGGUGACAUGGGAAGCGAUCAUUGUGAGUCAUCCAGGGAACACAGGGAGAGUUAAGCUGAUGGUGACGCACACCUGCCAACUGCUGAGAAGAAGAUAAUCAGCCCUCAGGAAUUUUCGACCCAGCCGCACUGCACAGCGUGGUUGCUGGACUCCUAGGACCAAGCCUCCUGGGCCUGGCAGGCAGCUGUAAUUCAGAGUGGGUCGGGGCUCCAGGAUGUGUUGUUUCCUGUGCAUUGCACUUCGCAGAGGCACAGAGCAGAAGCUAAGCCUGAUGGCCUCUGAACACUGGUUGG
rnacentral:lncRNA from 1 species